UACGUAGGGUGCAAGCGUUGUCCGGAAUUAUUGGGCGUAAAGAGCGUGUAGGCGGCCAGGUAGGUCGGUUGUGAAAACUGGAGGCUCAACCUUCAGAGGUCGACCGAAACCAUCUGGCUAGAGUCCGGGAGAGGAGAGUGGAAUUCCUGGUGUAGCGGUGAAAUGCGCAGAUAUCAGGAAGAACACCCGUGGCGAAAGCGGCUCUCUGGAACGGUACUGACGCUGAGACGCGAAAGCGUGGGGAGCGAACGGG
rnacentral:rRNA from 1 species